rnacentral:rRNA from 1 species
GAGCGGCAAAGCUCAAUUUGAAUCUAGCACCUUCGGUGUUCGAGUUGUAAUUUGAAGAUGGUAACCUUGGGUUUGGCUCUUGUCUAUGUUCCUUGGAACAGGACGUCAUAGAGGGUGAGAAUCCCGUCUGAUGAGAUGCCCAUUCCUAUGUAAGGUGCUAUCGAAGAGUCGAUGGGUUUG